UACGUAGGUGGCAAGCGUUGUCCGGACUUAUUGGGCGUAAAGCGCGCGCAGGCGGUUCCUUAAGUCUGAUGUGAAAGCCCCCGGCUCAACCGGGGAGGGUCAUUGGAAACUGGGGAACUUGAGUACUGAAGAGGAAAGCGGAAUUCCACGUGUAGCGGUGAAAUGCGUAGAGAUGUGGAGGAACACCAGUGGCGAAGGCGGCUUUCUGGUCAGUAACUGACGCUGAGGCGCGAAAGCGUGGGGAGCAAACAGG
rnacentral:rRNA from 1 species